rfam:Gossypium hirsutum cultivar TM-1 chromosome 9, whole genome shotgun sequence
CACAUCAAAGCGCUUUGCUGACGUGGCAACAAAUCGCCCCCUCGUGGACGCGAUUUGUUGCCACAUCAGCAAAGCACUCUGACGUUG